UACAUGGCCGUCUACAAUGAGCUGCGAUGCCGCGAGGCGGAGCGAAUCUCAAAAAGCCGGUCUCAGUUCGGAUUGGGGUCUGCAACUCGACCCCAUGAAGUCGGAGUUGCUAGUAAUCGCAGAUCAGCAUUGCUGCGGUGAAUACGUUCCCGGGCCUUGUACACACCGCCCGUCACGUCACGAAAGUCGGUAACACCCGAAGCCGGUGGCCCAACCCCUUGUGGGAGGGAGCUGUCGAAGGUGGGACUGGCGAUUGGGACGAAGUCGUAACAAGGUAGCCGUACCGGAGGUGCGGUUGGAUCACCUCCU
rnacentral:rRNA from 1 species